rnacentral:rRNA from 1 species
GAUGUUAGCGGCGGACGGGUGAGUAACACGUGGGUAACCUGCCUGUAAGACUGGGAUAACUCCGGGAAACCGGGGCUAAUACCGGAUGGUUGUUUGAACCGCAUGGUUCAAACAUAAAAGGUGGCUUCGGCUACCACUUACAGAUGGACCCGCGGCGCAUUAGCUAGUUGGUGAGGUAACGGCUCACCAAGGCAACGAUGCGUAGCCGACCUGAGAGGGUGAUCGGCCACACUGGGACUGAGACACGGCCCAGACUCCUACGGGAGGCAGCAGUAGGGAAUCUUCCGCAAUGGACGAAAGUCUGACGGAGCAACGCCGCGUGAGUGAUGAAGGUUUUCGGAUCGUAAAGCUCUGUUGUUAGGGAAGAACAAGUACCGUUCGAAUAGGGCGGUACCUUGACGGUACCUAACCAGAAAGCCACGGCUAACUACGUGCCAGCAGCCGCGGUAAUACGUAGGUGGCAAGCGUUGUCCGGAAUUAUUGGGCGUAAAGGGCUCGCAGGCGGUUUCUUAAGUCUGAUGUGAAAGCCCCCGGCUCAACCGGGGAGGGUCAUUGGAAACUGGGGAACUUGAGUGCAGAAGAGGAGAGUGGAAUUCCACGUGUAGCGGUGAAAUGCGUAGAGAUGUGGAGGAACACCAGUGGCGAAGGCGACUCU